AACGAACGCUGGCGGCAGGCUUAACACAUGCAAGUCGAACGGUUGUAGCAAUACAGCAGUGGCGCACGGGUGAGUAACGCGUGGAUAUCUGCCUUUUGGUUCGGAAUAACUCCGGGAAACUGGAGCUAAUACCGGAUGGUUCCUACGGGAUAAAGAUUUAUCGCCAAAAGAUGAGUCCGCGUACGAUUAGCUAGUUGGUGGGGUAAUGGCCCACCAAGGCGACGAUCGUUAGCUGGUCUGAGAGGACGAUCAGCCACACUGGGACUGAGACACGGCCCAGACUCCUACGGGAGGCAGCAGUGGGGAAUAUUGGACAAUGGGGGCGAACCCUGAUCCAGCCAUGCCGCGUGAGUGAUGAAGGCCUCGG
rnacentral:rRNA from 1 species